rnacentral:rRNA from 1 species
CGCUUAACACAUGCAAGUCAAGGGCUCGCAAGAGCACUGGCGCACGGGUGAGUAACACGUAGGUAAUCUACCCCCAUCACAGACAUAACCCCGGGAAACCGGGGCUAAUAUCUGAUGAGGCCGAGAGGUCAAAGCUUUAAGCGGAUGGGGAUGAGCCUGCGGCUGAUUAGCUAGUUGGUGAGGUAAUGGCUCACCAAGGCGACGAUCAGUAGCUGGUCUGAGAGGACGAACAGCCACACUGGAACUGAGACACGGUCCAGACUCCUACGGGAGGCAGCAGUGAGGAAUAUUGGUCAAUGGGCGCGAGCCUGAACCAGCAAUGCCGCGUGUGGGAUGACAGGGCUUCGCCUUGUAAACCAC